rnacentral:rRNA from 1 species
GUUAGGAAUAUUGGACAAUGGGCGCAAGCCUGAUCCAGCCAUGCCGCGUGAGUGAUGAAGGCCUUCGGGUUGUAAAGCUCUUUAGUCCACGAAUAUAAUGACUGUAGUGGAAGAAUAAGCCCCGGCUAACUUCGUGCCAGCAGCCGCGGUAAUACGAAGGGGGCGAGCGUUAUUCGGAAUCACUGGGCGUAAAGCGUGCGUAGGCUGUUUUGUAAGUCAGAAGUGAAAGCCCAGGGCUUAACCCUGGAAUUGCUUUUGAAACUACAAGACUCGAAUUCGGGAGAGGAUAGCGGAAUUGUCAGUGUAGCAGGGAAAUGCGUAGAUAUUGACAGGAACACCAGUGGCGCAAGCGGCUAUCUGGACCGAUAUUGACGCUGAGGCACGAAAGCGUGGGGAGCAAACAGGAUUAGAAACCCUGGUAGUCC